rnacentral:rRNA from 1 species
UCCAGACUCCUACGGGAGGCAGCAGUGGGGAAUAUUGCACAAUGGGGGAAACCCUGAUGCAGCGACGCCGCGUGAGGGAAGAAGGUUUUCGGAUUGUAAACCUCUGUCCUUGGUGACGAAAGAAGACGGUAGCCAAGGAGGAAGCCACGGCUAACUCCGUGCCAGCAGCCGCGGUAAUACGGAGGCUGCGAGCGUUAUCCGGAUUUAUUGGGUUUAAAGGGUGGGGCGGCGGGCUGUUAAGUCAGCGGUAAAAGCCGGGGGCCCCACCCCGGACGAGCCGUUGAAACUGGCGGGCUGGAUUUGGAGAGAAGUACGCGGAAUGCGCGGUGUAGCGGUGAAAUGCU